rnacentral:rRNA from 1 species
UACGGGGGGGAGCAAGCGUUGUUCGGAUUUACUGGGCGUAAAGGGCGCGUAGGCGGUCGUGACAAGUCACUUGUGAAAUCUCCGGGCUUAACUCGGAACGGUCAGAUGAUACUGCUUUGCUAGAGUGCGGAAGGGGCAAUCGGAAUUCUCGGUGUAGCGGUGAAAUGCGUAGAUAUCGAGAGGAACACCAGAGGUGAAGACGGGUUGCUGGGCCGACACUGACGCUGAGGAGCGAAAGUGUGGGGAGCGAACAGG